AACGAACGCUGGCGGCAGGCUUAACACAUGCAAGUCGAGCGCCCCGCAAGGGGAGCGGCAGACGGGUGAGUAACGCGUGGGAACGUACCUUUUGGUUCGGAACAACUCCGGGAAACUGGAGCUAAUACCGGAUAAGCCCUAACGGGGAAAGAUUUAUCGCCGAAAGAUCGGCCCGCGUCUGAUUAGCUAGUUGGUGAGGUAACGGCUCACCAAGGCGACGAUCAGUAGCUGGUCUGAGAGGAUGAUCAGUCACACUGGGACUGAGACACGGCCCAGACUCCUACGGGAAGCAGCAGUGGGGAAUAUUGGACAAUGGGCGCAAGCCUGAUCCAGCCAUGCCGCGUGAGUGAUGAAGGCCUUAGGGUUGUAAAGCUCUUUUGUCCGGGAAGAUAAUGACUGUACCGGAAGAAUAAGCCCCGGCUAACUUCGUG
rnacentral:rRNA from 1 species